UACGAAGGGGGCUAGCGUUGCUCGGAAUGACUGGGCGUAAAGGGCGCGUAGGCGGCUUGCACAGUCAGGCGUGAAAUUCCUGGGCUCAACCUGGGGACUGCGCUUGAGACGUGUGGGCUUGAGUGGGGAAGAGGGUCGUGGAAUUCCCAGUGUAGAGGUGAAAUUCGUAGAUAUUGGGAGGAACACCUGUGGCGAAGGCGGUUGCCUGGGGCUUUGCUGACGCUGAUGCGCGAAAGCGUGGGGAGCGAUCCGG
rnacentral:rRNA from 1 species